UGGGGAAUAUUGGACAAUGGGCGCAAGCCUGAUCCAGCAAUGCCGCGUGUGUGAAGAAGGCCUUCGGGUUGUAAAGCACUUUUAUCAGGAGCGAAACGCUGUCGGCUAAUACCCGGCGGAACUGACGGUACCUUAGGAAUAAGCACCGGCUAACUUCGUGCCAGCAGCCGCGGUAAUACGAAGGGUGCAAGCGUUAAUCGGAAUUACUGGGCGUAAAGCGUGCGUAGGCGGUUUCUUAAGUCUGCUGUGAAAUCCCCGGGCUCAACCUGGGAAUGGCAGUGGAUACUGGGAGGCUAGAGUGUGUCAGAGGGUGGUGGAAUUCCCGGUGUAGCGGUGAAAUGCGUAGAGAUCGGGAGGAACAUCAGUGGCGAAGGCGGCCACCUGGGACAACACUGACGCUGAGGCACGAAAGCGUGGGGAGCAAACAGGAUUAGAUACCCUGGUAGUCCACGCCCUAAAACGAUGCGAACUGGAUGUUGGUCUCAACUCGGAGAUCAGUGUCGAAGCUAACGCGUUAAGUUCGCCGCCUGGGGAGUACGGUCGCAAGACUGAAACUCAAAUGAAUUGAC
rnacentral:rRNA from 1 species